rnacentral:antisense_RNA from 1 species
CUCCCGGAAUUCCCUGCCGGUCUCCGCGGGCACACUUGGCUGGCUGCUGCGACCAAAACUACCUUCGCGUGGCAGGGUCCUCCUUCCUCCUCACAGACACCCCGACAUCACCCUCAAAACUGGAAGGGACAGCCCCGAGUGAUCUAGGCGAUGGUGGAUACCUGAAAGCCACCCAUGGAAAAGGUGAAGAAAGUGCCCCUUGAUUCUCAGAAGAGCCACUGCUGCUGUUGUGAGCAGAUAUCGGGUGGUGUCUCUGGCUGCAUCAUUCGUCAACCACACAUAUUCAUAUGAGUGUUACCCUCCAGCACUGUGCCUUCCAAAAGCCCCUGGCUGAGGAAGCACUGCUUCUGAGCCACAGAGACAGCUGAUUUAUGGACUAUUUUAUCACUGCUUCUAAACUGUGGCUCUAAACCUAACACAGAGGGUAAUGGUAGUGCUGUAUCCAUUCAUUCACUCAAUAAAUAUUUGCUGAGCACCAUCUGCG